CUCAAAAUUCUCUGCCUAUAUGCACAACCAAAUAUCUCCCAGUAUCAUUCACCACCACCAAAAAAAAAAAAAAAAAAAAAAAAAAAAUUAACAUUCCACACUUGUCCUCCUCUUUGUCACUCUGUCUCUCGCUCAGCCAAUGAUGUCAUUUCCAUCUAAAGCCAUGGAUAAAAUGGCGGUCAAGAUCUUUGUAAUCUUCAUACAGACCAACCUCAUAGUAGAGUCUCAACCAAAAUCUGAUAAGUUUGCCAGGGCAACCGGAUCAUGUCGGUUUUCAACAAUUUUUGGACCAUGUCAUAGUGGAUGAAAGGCAACAUAGAGCACUCUUUUACUAUAUUGUGGAAGCAGAAGAACACCCUGCUUCAAGGCCUCUCGUUCUCUGGCUUGCUGGAGGGCCUGGCUGUUCCUCUGUUGGAGCUGGAGCUUUCAUGGAGCAUGGACCUUUUAGACCAAAUGGAGAGAAUCUGGUGAAGAAUGAGUAUAGUUGGAAUAAAGGUCCCAAAGCUUAAUAAUUUCAUAUAUAUAUAUAUAUAUAUAUAUAUAUUUUUUUUUUCAGUGUUGACAUAGCAUAUAGCGUAGUAUUAAUUUGGUCAUGCCAUGUAGUAUAGAUGAUAUGUACUUAGAAUUGUGAGUUUAAUUUUGAUGGUUACAGAAGCCAAUAUGUUGUACCUGGAGUCACCAGCAGCGGUUGGUUUCUCUUAUUCUUCUAAUAAAUCAUUUUACUCCUACAUCAACGAUGAUAUAACAGGUUUGCUUA